AUUGAACGCUGGCGGCAGGCUUAACACAUGCAAGUCGAGCGAGUGGCGGACGGGUGAGUAAUGCUUGGGAAUCUGGCUGAUGGAGGGGGAUAACUACGGGAAACUGUAGCUAAUACCGCAUACCAUAAGAUGUGCCCAGGUGGGAUUAGGUAGGUGGUGGGGUAAGGGCUCACCAAGGCGACGAUCCCUAGCUGGUCUGAGAGGAUGACCAGCCACACUGGGACUGAGACACGGCCCAGACUCCUACGGGAGGCAGCAGUGGGGAAUAUUGCGCAAUGGGGGCAAGCCGGACGCAGCCAUGCCGCGUGAGUGAAGAAGGCCUUCGGGUUGUAAAGUACUUUCGGUGGGGAGGCGUUACCCACAGAAGAAGCACCGGCUAACUCCGUGCCAGCAGCCGCGGUAAUUC
rnacentral:rRNA from 1 species